rnacentral:rRNA from 1 species
UCUGAUGUUAGCGGCGGACGGGUGAGUAACACGUGGAUAACCUACCUAUAAGACUGGGAUAACUUCGGGAAACCGGAGCUAAUACCGGAUGAUAUUUUGAACCGCAUGGUUCAAAAGUGAAAGACGGUCUUGCUGUCACUUAUAGAUGGAUCCGCGCUGCAUUAGCUAGUUGGUAAGGUAACGGCUUACCAAGGCAACGAUGCAUAGCCGACCUGAGAGGGUGAUCGGCCACACUGGAACUGAGACACGGUCCAGACUCCUACGGGAGGCAGCAGUAGGGAAUCUUCCGCAAUGGGCGAAAGCCUGACGGAGCAACGCCGCGUGAGUGAUGAAGGUCUUCGGAUCGUAAAACUCUGUUAUUAGGGAAGAACAUAUGUGUAAGUAACUGUGCACAUCUUGACGGUACCUAAUCAGAAAGCCACGGCUAACUACGUGCCAGCAGCCGCGGUAAUACGUAGGUGGCAAGCGUUAUCCGGAAUUAUUGGGCGUAAAGCGCGCGUAGGCGGUUUUUUAAGUCUGAUGUGAAAGCCCACGGCUCAACCGUGGAGGGUCAUUGGAAACUGGAAAACUUGAGUGCAGAAGAGGAAAGUGGAAUUCCAUGUGUAGCGGUGAAAUGCGCAGAGAUAUGGAGGAACACCAGUGGCGAAGGCGACUUUCUGGUCUGUAACUGACGCUGAUGUGCGAAAGCGUGGGGAUCAAACAGGAUUAGAUACCCUGGUAGUCCACGCCGUAAACGAUGAGUGCUAAGUGUUAGGGGGUUUCCGCCCCUUAGUGCUGCAGCUAACGCAUUAAGCACUCCGCCUGGGGAGUACGACCGCAAGGUUGAAACUCAAAGGAAUUGACGGGGACCCGCACAAGCGGUGGAGCAUGUGGUUUAAUUCGAAGCAACGCGAAGAACCUUACCAAAUCUUGACAUCCUUUGACAACUCUAGAGAUAGAGCCUUCCCCUUCGGGGGACAAAGUGACAGGUGGUGCAUGGUUGUCGUCAGCUCGUGUCGUGAGAUGUUGGGUUAAGUCCCGCAACGAGCGCAACCCUUAAGCUUAGUUGCCAUCAUUAAGUUGGGCACUCUAAGUUGACUGCCGGUGACAAACCGGAGGAAGGUGGGGAUGACGUCAAAUCAUCAUGCCCCUUAUGAUUUGGGCUACACACGUGCUACAAUGGACAAUACAAAGGGCAGCGAAACCGCGAGGUCAAGCAAAUCCCAUAAAGUUGUUCUCAGUUCGGAUUGUAGUCUGCAACUCGACUACAUGAAGCUGGAAUCGCUAGUAAUCGUAGAUCAGCAUGCUACGGUGAAUACGUUCCCGGGUCUUGUACACACCGCCCGUCACACCACGAGAGUUUGUAACACCCGAAGCCGGUGGAGUAACCUUUUAGGAGCUAGCCGUCGAAGGUGGGACAAAUGAUUGGGGUGAAGUCGUAACAAGGUAGCCGUAUCGGAAGGUGCGGCUG